rnacentral:tRNA from 1 species
GCUGGCGUAGCUCAGUUGGUAGAGCAGCACUUUCGUAAAGUGACGGUCGGCAGUUCGACUCUGCCCGCCAGCU